CAUUACAGACAGUCGCUGGCUAUAAAGCUAGAGGAAAGUCCAUGCUCGCACGAUCUGUGAUGAUCGUAGUGUUUGUGCAGAAUGAAUACAUAAGUUCUGGCAGCUGAUUGCUGACGGCUGAGGGAAGCCUAAGACUUCGGUUAUGGUGUACCUCUGUAAAAGUGCCACAGAAACGAGUCGUAUCGGAAACGAUACGAAUGGAACGGGUAAACCCCGCAAGCGAGAAACCCAAAUUUGGUAGGGGAAUCCACUAAAGUGAAACGAAACGGCGGUGGGACGUGCAUGCACGUAGAUAAAUGACUGUCACUCAUAUAUAUGAGCACAGAACAUGGCUUAUGUA
rnacentral:RNase_P_RNA from 21 species